GGAGCUGAUUUCGCUUCUGUUCUUCUAAACAGAUAAAGAUCAAAUCGAUGGCUCGGUCGAUAUGACGCGUUUACUCGCAGCUGACCAGAUGAUAUGAAAUCUAAUGCUCCAUAUGAAUCAGAUGAAGCUGUUUGAUCUGGGAUGUGCGGCGCGCGGCGGAACUGCAGGCGCGCGCGUCAGUCUCGCGCGCACACACACACAAAGUCAGGUAUCUUCCUCUCCGCGCGCACGCGUUUCUCUGUGAUGCUCGCGUGCGUCGGACGCGCGGGUGAUCGCGGCUGAUUGUCAGUGUGUGGAAUAAGACGCUCUUCAUCCUCAUCUUCAUCUUCAUCCUCCUCAUCGCGGCUGUUUCUGGCUGGAGUGACAGAAAGACAUAAAACCUUCCUCCGGAACCUCAGCGCUCCUCUGAAGGCUUUUGGGUGAGUCUUCAUCAUUCUCUCGAUCUUCUUCAGCAUCUUCAUCCUCCUCAUCUUCCUCGUGCCCUACUGAUGAUUGUGUGUUUCUCUCGUGUGUUUCAGUCAGUGCUUUGUGAUUCUUCAGCGUUUGGAAUGUGACCAAGAGUUUUCAGAAAGGUGAGAUUCUGAGGGGUUUUAUUCUUUCAUUCCUCUGGCCGGAGACAGCUCAGAUGACGAGGGCUUCAUGAACGGUGUGGUCCGGCUCGGAGCGUGUUCUGAGUCUUGGUUCAGGGAUCCAGAUGGAACCAGCGUGAACCUGCGGGCCGCAGCGAGUGUAAGUCCAGUCAACAAACACACAGAUUCACGUCUGAUUCAAAACGCUGCUCUAGAGUCAGACAAGAGUCCUUUCAGAGAUCUGAGAGUCAGUUUGAUGCUCUUCAGCUGCAGUGAGGCUGUUCUCAAACACACACCUGCUGAUCUAGACCUUGAUACUGAACACACACACACACAUACACACUCUCUCUCUCUCUCACACACACAUACACACACACUCACACUCACGCACACACACACACACACCCACUCUCUCUCUCUCUCUCACACACAUACACACUCACUCACUCACUCACACUCACACACACACACACACACAUACACCCUCUCUCUCUCUCUCUCACACACCCACACACACGCACACACCCACACUCUCACUCACUCACACACACACUCUCUCUCUCUCACAUACACACACACACACACUCACGCGCUCUCUCACGCUCUCGCACACACACACACACACAAAAACAAACACACACACACACACACACUAACACUCACACACACACACACACCCACUCUCUCUCUCUCUCUCACUCACACACACACACUCACACACUCUCACACACACACACACACAUACACCCUCUCUCUCUCUCUCACACACACGUACAUACACACACUCUCUCUCUCUCACUCACACACACACACUCACACACUCUCACACACACACAUACACACUCUCUCUCUCUCUCUCUCUCCCUCUCACACACACACCCACACACACACUCGCCCACACACACACACACACACACCCCCACCCACACACACACACACACUCCCUCACACACACACACACACACAAACACACCCUCUCUCUCUCUCUCUCUCUCCCACACACACACACACACACUCGCUCCCUCUCUCCCACACACACACACACACACUCCCACACGCACACACACACUCACUCACACUCACGCACAAACACACUCACUCACACACACACACACACCCACUCACACACACACACACACACAUACACGCUCUCUCUCUCUCUCACACACACCCACACACACACUCACACACACCCUCCCCCACCCACACACACACACCCUCACACCCUCUCUCUCACUCUCUCUCACACACACACACACUCACACACCCCCACACACACCCACACUCACCCACUCACACACACACACACACCCACUCACACACACACACACACACACACACACACACGUCUGAUAGGUCUUAAUGGCACCAUUAGACCUGUUGGUAAUUAAACUAAUGAUCUGUUUUAAUUCACCUCCAGUGUCAGAUAGAGAUGCAGUGUGUUGUUUUGUUUUUCUCCAUCACAAUCAUUUCCAAUAACAGCUGCUGUUUUAAUACCUUUAUGUAUUUAUUUUGAUGUGUUUUAUUACAGUAAAAACAGUCAGUGCUCCAUAAUUACUAAUAAAUGGACAUAAUUUCAGCAAAAAACAGGUUGUGAUGCUAAUGUUAGCAUACCAUAGUUUAUAUAGUUUUAUAAAUGCACCUUUCACCGCUCACCAAAAACAUGUCAAUCACAGUGUUAUUUUACUUUUAUUUUUGUACUAUUGCAGUGUUAUAUUUUUGAGUAACUGCGAUUCAAUGUCCUCUUUUAAAUGACAUAAUUAAACAAUUAUUAAAUCUCUAAUUAUUAAAGACGUGUGUCAUGCUUAGCAACGUAAAGCCAAAGAAAGCAUGCUUUAAGCUAGACUCAUAUGAUGAUGUUCAUAGGCUGUCUGUUUUGUUAUUGUAUUAUUAAAAUCAAACAGCAAAUGCAGUCAUAUACAGAGGAAAACAAGUUCACUUUCACUUUAUUUUUGUCUCGUGUUUGUUUCUCUUUUAAUGUGCACUGUGUCUGUAGCUGCGUCUCACAUUAAACUUUUACUUUCUUUCUUUAUUCAGAAUGUUUCACAGGAGCGGAUGUUACAUCUGAAGUCACACACACACACACACACACACACACACAGACUUCUGUUUUUAUAUUGAGCUGAUUAUAUUUGCUCCGCCGUGACUUUAAAACCCCAGCGCUAGCCUUUCACAUGAAAGAUAAAGUCAUUAAUAAUAUUAUAGCGCUCAUGAUCUUUGCAUGAUCUUAACCCUCAAAUAAACCUUUCUGCAUUUCUAUAUUUUCAUUAAGACUGCAUAUUACAUUCAUUUGAUGAAUGUGAUAGUUGUGCCGAGAUGUUAUAGUGUCGCUGUCAUCAUGAGCUCCACCAGCAGAUGUCAGUGUAACACCACUGAACACGCGUGCACACACACACACACACACACACACACACACACACACACACACACACACACUCUGUUCCUGUGUGCUGAUGUGCUUUCAUGUGUCAGGAGGAUCCAGACCAGCUUUACUUUCAGAAAUUAACAGUUUACACGUGACUAAAAACAGAGCAACAUCCGACACUGAGAUGAAAACUGAAAUCUACUGAACUACACGACAUCAUGUCAUGUGACAAGUGUAUAACAGCAUACUAGCUUCACUGCAGUCUACAGUGUGUACUGCGCAGUGUGCAUUCUGAGCACGAAACCUUCUCUUUCCAGUCUGACGAAUGAACCACAAACCACCGUGAUUUUUCAUUUUUCACUUAUAAUUGAGUGUAGAAAAUGGUAUUUUAUUCUGAUUUAUAUUUUAUAUACCCAUAACCUCGGUGUUGCUAGUGGCUUGCUCUACUGAGCUACAUAAAAUCAAUCAAUCAAUCAACACAAUGAAUAAAUCCACACAACAGCAGAUGUUCAGCUGAUUAUCAAAUAAUAAUGAUCAGAACGUGAUA
rnacentral:lncRNA from 12 species